CUUUGAAGCCCUCCCGGACAAAUGAAUCUAUCCUUGUACAGUUUUUUGGGACUCAUGAUUUUGCAAGGAUCAAGUUGAAACAGGCUAUUCCGUUUCUCAAUGGCCUCCUUUCCUCUUUGCAUCUAAAGUGCAAGCAGGCAAGAUUUUGUCGAAGCUUGGAUGAAGCAAAAAUGUUGCUAUUGAAGGUUGGAGCACAUGUCUUUUGUCGUUUGGAGCACAUGCCUUUUUUUGUUUGGAGCACAUGCCUUUUGAUGUUUUUUUUGGUG